rnacentral:rRNA from 1 species
UACGAAGGGGGCUAGCGUUGUUCGGAAUCACUGGGCGUAAAGCGCACGCAGGCGGAUUGAUAAGUCAGGGGUGAAAUCCCGGAGCUCAACUUCGGAAUUGCCUUUGAUACUGUCUAUCUUCGAGUUCGGGAGAGGUUGGCGGAAUUCCUAGUGUAGAGGUGAAAUUCGUAGAUAUUAGGAAGAACACCGGUGGCGAAGGCGGCCAACUGGACCAUUACUGACGCUGAGGCGCGAAAGCGUGGGGAGCAAACAGG